GAUGAACGCUGGCGGCGUGCCUAAUACAUGCAAGUCGAACGCUGAAGGAGGAGCUUGCUCUUCUGGAUGAGUUGCGAACGGGUGAGUAACGCGUAGGUAACCUGCCUGGUAGCGGGGGAUAACUAUUGGAAACGAUAGCUAAUACCGCAUGACAACAGUUAUUGCAUGAUAACUGUUUAAAAGGGGCAACUGCUCCACUACCAGAUGGACCUGCGUUGUAUUAGCUAGUUGGUGAGGUAACGGCUCACCAAGGCGACGAUACAUAGCCGACCUGAGAGGGUGAUCGGCCACACUGGGACUGAGACACGGCCCAGACUCCUACGGGAGGCAGCAGUAGGGAAUCUUCGGCAAUGGACGGAAGUCUGACCGAGCAACGCCGCGUGAGUGAAGAAGGGUUUCGGAUCGUAAAGCUCUGUUGUAAGAGAAGAACGAGUGUGAGAGUGGAAAGCUCACACUGUGACGGUAUCUUACCAGAAAGGGACGGCUAACUACGUG
rnacentral:rRNA from 1 species